CCUACGGGAGGCAGCAGUCGAGAAUCAUUCACAAUGGGGGAAACCCUGAUGGUGCGACGCCGCGUGGGGGAAUGAAGGUCUUCGGAUUGUAAACCCCUGUCAUGUGGGAGCAAAUUAAAAAGAUAGUACCACAAGAGGAAGAGACGGCUAACUCUGUGCCAGCAGCCGCGGUAAUACAGAGGUCUCAAGCGUUGUUCGGAAUCACUGGGCGUAAAGGGUGCGUAGGCGGUUUCGUAAGUCGUGUGUGAAAGGCGCGGGCUCAACCCGCGGACGGCACAUGAUACUGCGAGACUAGAGUAAUGGAGGGGGAGCCGGAAUUCUCGGUGUAGCAGUGAAAUGCGUAGAUAUCGAGAGGAACACUCGUUGCGAAGGCGGGUUCCUGGACAUUAACUGACGCUGAGGCACGAAGGCCAGGGUAGCGAAAGGGAUUAGAUACCCUUGUAGUC
rnacentral:rRNA from 1 species